GUGCCAGCAGCCGCGGUAAAACGUAGGUGGCGAGCGUUAUCCGGAUUCAUUGGGCGUAAAGAGCUUGUAGGCGGCCACAUAAGUUGGACGUGAAAACUCCGGGCUUAACUUGGAGAGGCCGUUCAAUACUGUGAGGCUGGAGGGUGUCAGAGGGAAGUAGAAUUCCUGGUGUAGCAGUGAAAUGCGUAGAUAUCAGGAGGAAUACCCGUGGCGAAGGCGGCUUCCUGGGGCACCACUGACGCUGAGAAGCGAAAGCUAGGGGAGCAAACGGGAUUAGAUACCCCGGUAGUCC
rnacentral:rRNA from 1 species